UCUAAGCCACUGACCCCUC
rnacentral:misc_RNA from 1 species